CGCCUUUGGAAUUUCAUCAAAGGUACAGCCUGCCCGGUGAGACGGUAGUUAAACGGCGGCAUUAGCGUGAUUGUCCAAAGGUAGCAUAUAAUACGCCUUUUAAUUGAUGGCUGGCAUGAAAGGUUAGACGUGGGAGUAGCUGUCUUCCAGGCACAUGUAGAACUUAUCUUGUAGGUGAACAGACCUUUUUUUGUCUUCGGGACGGGUAGACCCCGAUGAACUUGAUAGCGGUGUGUGGUUUUUCGUCGAGGUUAAUUAACUCGACGCUUUUCCACUCCUUCUUCGGUUGGGAAAACCGGUGGGAUGAGUAAUAUCCACCUUUUUGUUUAUUUAGGGAUACUGAUAAAGACCUCUAGUGUGGGAAAUCUAGAAAGAGAAAAGUUACCGCGGGGAUAACAGCAUUGUCUCCUCGGAGAGAAUACAUUGCAGAGGGGGUUUGUGACCUCGAUUUUGGGUCAUUAGAUUCUGGGUGGUAUAAGAAGCCGCCCUGAGAGGGACUGUUCGUCCUUUAAUUUAUU
rnacentral:rRNA from 1 species